GCCUCUCCUUCUAAUAAGGGACUGAUUCAGACCUGUUUAUGGAUCAGGCCUCUCCUUCUAAUAAGGGACUGAUUCAGACCUGUUUAUAGAUCAGGCCUCUCCUUCUAAUAAGGGACUGAUUCAGACCCGGGACACCAGGUGAGCGUAAUUACCUAGCAGAAACAGAAUUGUUUCUGUCCUCAGGACCAGAAGUGUUUCUGUCCUCCAGGACCAGAAGUGUUUCUGUCCUCCAGGACCAGAAGUGUUUCUGUCCUCCAGGACCAGAAGUGUUUCUGUCCUCCAGGACCAGAAGUGUUUCUGUUCUCCAGGACCAGAAGUGUUUCUGUCCUCCAGGACCAGAAGUGUUUCUGUUCUCCAGGACCAGAACUGAACAGCCCUGAGUUAAAGGAAUAGUGCAAGAUUCUAGCAAUGAAGCUGUUUCUCUCACGGAUCCAGUUUAUGUCUCUGUGCAGUUUGAAGGAGGUUAAAGGUAGUUUCACCAAGCCAAUGCUAACUAGCAUUAGCACAAUGACUGGAAGUCUACCAGUACAGCUAGCACCUGUAGACUCGCGGUAUCUGUCUUGAUUCAAACACUACAACGUCUUGGUAUAUUGGCUCAUAGUAACCCUUCCCCCAAUACACUGGUACUAGGCUAUAUCAUACUCAUAGUAACCCUAACCCUUGAGCGAGGCAGUUGACCCCCAACAACAACUGCUCCCCGGGUGCCGAUGAUGUGGACGCCGAUUUAAGGCAGCCCCCUGCACCUCCGAUUCAGAUGGGGUUACAUGCGGAAGUCACAUUUGGGUUGAAGGCAUUCAGCUGUGCAGCUGACUGGGUUUCCCCCUAACCCUAACCCCCACACCUCAACGGGCCCUGUUCCAAUUAUAUAUCCUCUCUUCCUUCUCCUUAAAGCACCUUCAUCACUUAAGUCUAGAAGUCUUUCUCUGAAUCAGAUUGUGUACGCAGUGCCUCUCCACCCUGUGUUCUGCAGGACCUGUUCCACCACACCGCUUAUUUCCUGGUCAUACUGCUUCUAUGUCACAAUGAUAUUCAGUUAGAAUGAAGCAUUUUAAUGUUCUGGUGUUGGUUAAUAAUGAUCAUGUUUAGAAUGUUUUAAUGUUCUGGUGUUGGUUAAUAAUGAUCAUGUUUAGAAUGUUUUAAUGUUCUGGUGUUGGGUUAAUAAUGAUCAUGUUUAGAAUGUUUUAAUGUUCUGGUGUUGGUUAAUAAUGAUCAUGUUUAGAAUGUUUUAAUGUUCUGGUGUUGGGUUAAUAAUGAUCAUGUUUAGAAUGUUUUAAUGUUCUGGUGUUGGUUAAUAAUGAUCAUGUUUAGAAUGUUUUAAUGUUCUGGUGUUGGGUUAAUAAUGAUCAUGUUUAGAAUGUUUUAAUGUUCUGGUGUUGGGUUAAUAAUGAUCAUGUUUAGAAUGUUUUAAUGUUCUGGUGUUGGGUUAAUAAUGAUCAUGUUUAGAAUGUUUUAAUGUUCUGGUGUUGGUUAAUAAUGAUCAUGUUUAGAAUGUUUUAAUGUUCUGGUGUUGGUUAAUAAUGAUCAUGUUUAGAAUGUUUUAAUGUUCUGGUGUUGGGUUAAUAAAGAUCAUGUUUUUA